rnacentral:rRNA from 1 species
UCUCUCUGAAUCUGCGAACGGCUCCGCAAACCAGUCGUAAUCCACAGUAGUCCUCUGGGCCACCCCUUCUCGGAGGGGGGGCCUUGCAUGGAUACCCGUGGUAAUCCUGAGGCUAAUACAUGACUACCCACCACGCCGUCCUCUACGCCUCACGGCAUGGGGGCGGCGAGAGGUGCACGAGACACGCUUGACGAGACUGGAAAGAACGUGCGCCUUGACCACCGUUAACGGGUGGAGCGGGCUUCGGCCUCUCUGCCUGGUGGCGGCUGCAGCGUGCUUCUGACCUAUCAACCGGAAGGCAGCGCAAGGGACAUGCUCUGGUAGCGACGGGUACAGAGGAUAAGGGUUCGAUCCUGGAGAGUGGGCCUGAGAGAUU